rnacentral:lncRNA from 10 species
CACCAAUGGCUUUGCAAUCAAUCACCUGAAGAAAUGUGAGUGCGUGGCCUUCAGCUCCACUCAGUCAUGACCACACUAGUUCUGAGCAGUGAGUUCAGAGGGUAGUAGUGUUUGAAUGCUAAGAAACAGCCAUAGAGGAGCAGUGUCUUUUAGCCAGUGCUAUGUUUCAAUAGACAUUCGUUAGUAGUCCUAUUAAUUUGAUGUUGUUUACAAUAUUCACAAACAUAUUUUUUUCCCUGAAAAGCAAUUGACAGGCUUCACCAACUCCCAUAGGGGUCUGUGGCAUACAAAUCUUACUUGCCUUGGUUAAAUUACCUUAUAUUCCUGUGCUUAUCUUAAAAUAAUUAUAGUAAUGUCUAUCUCAUUAAAUUUGUUAUGAGGAUUAUAUGAAUCAAUACACACAUGGUGCGCAAAGCAGCUUGUGACUCACACUGUGAAUUUAAUGUGCUCACUAAUUGCUGUGACUUCUUGCAUUAGACUCUCCUGGGCACGAAUCUGAACUCCAUUAUAAACCAUUGCAUGAUGUUAGGUCAUCAUGGACUCUUGUGGAUGUUAGUGCCCUAACCCACAGGAACCCAGAACUGUCAGGAAUCCUGACGGAGGCAGACUGAAGCUCCGAGAAGAAGAAACAUGAAUGCACUUUUUAAGUGCUAAAUAAUUACACCUGUUUGCUUAGUGGAUGAGGAAGAUAUACCCUGUUGGAUACAACAGAGCGUAUAAUGGUAACCUGUGGUAAUGAGGCACCUCCCUCCAGGACACUUACCUGUGAAUUCAUCCUCACUUUGGUCAUAGACAAACCGC